UAAACAGGAUCACCCCUCUUUUAGCCAAACCAUCACGGUACGAUGUAUCUUGAACAUAGCUAGUAGGAGCUGGCAAUCAGGGGAGCAGCCAGCGAUGCAUACAUGGGCACGUCAUACUCUGGAUAGAUGUGCGGCAGUGGGAAAUCGAGUGAAGUUCUUCUCCAGUCCGCCGCCCAGGCAAGCCUCUUCCACCUAUCUCUAUUGCCAAUUCCCCACCGAAGACCAAAACCUAAAUCCAUGGCCGGUGUUGAGAGAGCCGACCAAGCACCAUGUAGCAGGAUUAGGGAGGGACGGACACCACCGGAGCCCAAACAGAGGAGCAGGGAGUUUACCUGGAUUGGAACCACUGCUCUCGGGUUCGCGGGUGACCACUUCUAUGGACAUCCGUCAGGCGGAGACAAUCGACAAGCAACAACAGGCCGUGGUGGACACUCUGAAUACUAGGGGGCAUCGCGGGGCGUUCGUCUUGGAGCUCGCCAAACCUGUCGGCAACCGUUGUCCACACUGGCGCUGGUGAGGAAAAUCAUCUGGAGCUUAGGCGACCAAAGUCCUCUCAGGCACAUUACUACUGUCCCCAAGUGCCCACCCAUUCAGUUGAAUCUUCUUUGGAGUUCUUAUGGUUGAAUUGAAUCUUCUACAUUGACCUUCAAUGAUUUUGAUUGCGCUCCUGAGUAUCUCAGGCAAGUCCAUUCUUGCACAUCCUUGAUUAUUUUUAUCAAAGUAUUUGUCAAUCUAUUAUUAUGUAUCACCUGCAUCAAACAAAAAUAUAUCUUAUAAAUAAUAUGACAUGCAUGUUGAUCGGCUGAUGGAGCAGCCGGUGAACUAUUAUGGCUGGUAGUCGAACCCUGUGUGGAGGCUGUGAAGCCAUUGGAAGGCGGGUUCGACUACAAGGGAUAUCACCAUUAGGAUCUAAUCAACAAUUGCCUUCUUGAGCUCAAGCGCCGUAGUGACCGCGUUGACCAUAUGACCCUGACUGGGAAGGGCGGAGCUGAAGUAAUUCCAUCUUACGGCAUAUCUCCCAGGGAUGGCAGUUGGGGUGUGACCUCUACUAUAGGCGACCAACUGUCUAAACAAACUAAAGGCCUCUACUGAAGGCAUUAAACUGAUUGGGCGGGUAGCUGGUUUUGCCAGCUAGAUGUGAGAUAUGUCAAAGAAGGGAGUGUGAAUGGGGCUAGCUACCUCAGGAACACCACCAUGGGCGUCCGUGGGUAAAGUAACGCACCUCUGCAGAGUGUAUAAAAUUGUGGCAUUGUCACUCCCUGUUCCGGGAAGGAGCUGCGAACGGGGCGAGAAAGGAAUCCACAGGGGAUUCUAACAGCUCGUGAGGCAAGAAGAUCAUAGAUUUCAGAAUAAAACUUGAACUCUUUCAUCAUAAAUGUUUUCGAAAAUUUGUGAGUUGAUGGACCAUUGGUCCUAGUAGUUGAUAGUGCAUGAAAACUGUUUUGUUAUAUAUCCUAGACUUGUUGAUUACUUCGUGUACUCAUCCCCUCCUACAAAAUCUCCCUUCUUAGAUUGUGAACCAGUAGAUGCGGGAGUGGAUUACCCAGAUGUCCAGGAGGAGGAGUUCGAGAAGAAGAAAACCAUCGAAGGAGGAGUCAACUACUACAUGUACUUCAAUGAGCAGGCUAGUAUUGAUCCAUAGAGUUAGUAGUGUAGAUUACAGGAAGGGAGUACUUGAGAGUCCUUCGUUGUAGUAUAACCUCAGGUUAAGAUUUCCUUGUUCUUUUGGAGUUCUUUUUGUUGUAGUUGGUAGCGGAACCUUGUAAUAUGUUCCAGUUUGAAGCUUCUUCGAAUCUUGUAAUAUAAUUUCGUACUUUGGACCGCUCCAGUUGCUUAUGUUGUGCUACUCUGAUCGGCAUAUUGUUCGAGAUACUUCA